rnacentral:rRNA from 1 species
ACGAACGCUGGCGGCGUGCUUAACACAUGCAAGUCGAACGGAAAGGCCCUGCUUUUGUGGGGUGCUCGAGUGGCGAACGGGUGAGUAACACGUGAGUAACCUGCCCUUGACUUUGGGAUAACUUCAGGAAACUGGGGCUAAUACCGGAUAGGAGCUCCUGCUGCUUGGUGGGGGUUGGAAAGUUUCGGCGGUUGGGGAUGGACUCGCGGCUUAUCAGCUUGUUGGUGGGGUAGUGGCUUACCGAGGCUUUGACGGGUAGCCGGCCUGAGAGGGUGACCGGCCACAUUGGGACUGGGAUACGGCCCAGACUCCUACGGGAGACAGCAGUGGGGAAUAUUGCACAAUGGGCGGAGGCCUGAUGCAGCAACGCCGCGUGCGGGAUAACGGCCUUCGGGUUGUAAACCGCUUUCGCCUGUGACGAAGCGUGAGUGACGGUAAUGGGUAAAGAAGCACCGGCUAACUACGUG